rnacentral:miRNA from 1 species
AGGUGGGAGGAUUGCUUGAGCCUGGGAGGUGGAGGUUGCAGUGAGCUGAGAUCUCACCACUGCACCC